UACAGAGGGUGCGAGCGUUAAUCGGAAUUACUGGGCGUAAAGCGCACGUAGGUGGCGACGUAAGUCUCGUGUGAAAUCCCUCGGCUUAACUGAGGAACUGCACGGGAUACUGCAUGACUUGAGAUCGGGAGAGGGAAGCGGAAUUCCGGGUGUAGCGGUGAAAUGCGUAGAUAUCCGGAGGAACACCGGUGGCGAAGGCGGCUUCCUGGACCGACACUGACGCUGAGGCGCGAAAGCUAGGGGAGCAAACGGG
rnacentral:rRNA from 1 species